rnacentral:rRNA from 1 species
GACGAACGCUGGCGGCGUGCUUAACACAUGCCAGUCGAACGGAAAGGCCCUGCUUUUGUGGGGUGCUCGAGUGGCGAACGGGUGAGUAACACGUGAGUAACCUGCCCUUGACUUUGGGAUAACUUCAGGAAACUGGGGCUAAUACCGGAUAGGAGCUCCUGCUGCAUGGUGGGGGUUGGAAAGUUUCGGCGGUUGGGGAUGGACUCGCGGCUUAUCAGCUUGUUGGUGGGAUAGUGGCUUACCAAGGCUUUGACGGGUAGCCGGCCUGAGAGGGUGACCGGCCACAUUGGGACUGAGAUACGGCCCAGACUCCUACGGGAGGCAGCAGUGGGGAAUAUUGCACAAUGGGCGGAAGCCUGAUGCAGCAACGCCGCGUGCGGGAUGACGGCCUUCGGGUUGUAAACCGCUUUCGCCUGUGACGAAGCGUGAGUGACGGUAAUGGGUAAAGAAGCACCGGCUAACUACGUG